GUGUAUUGCGCUGUGUACAUUUUUGUCUUUGGUAGGUUAAGUUCUAGGUAGGUAUGUACAGUAGGUACCUAUAGACUGAAGUAGACUAAAUAAAACCAGUCAGCCGAACUAAAAGCGUUUCAGUCGCAUUCAGACAGUGCUGAAGACUUUCGUCCAGUGUAUCGCUUUCAGAACAAGCAAGUUCUGCUGUGUAAGGAGUCUCAUAUAACAAUGGGGAUACUUUCGGCUAUCGUAGUCAACGUCGUUGGAGGCGCAGUGAUCUAUGGCACCGGGGGCCUGGGCGCAGCGUGGGUGGCCCCUUGGCUGGGCUUCAGCACCGGCGGAAUUUUGGCUGGCAGCACCGCCGCCGCCGCCCAGGCGUACUAUGGCAACCUGGCUGCUGGGAGUAUCGUCUCUCAGCUAACUGCCGUUGCCAUGGCUGCCCCUACUCCAUAAGAAGACUGCUAAGCUGUUAGCAUCAAUGGUGCAGUAGGUACCUACCUACUCAUCAUUCCACGAAGAAGAUAAAUGGGUACCUAACUACUACCUAAGAUGCCUACUACUCCCAUAUAAGUGUUGUUUCGUUUUGUUACUCUGAUAACAGUAAUAAAGAAACAAACCUAUUGCUUA